rnacentral:lncRNA from 1 species
GACUCCAGUUGAAGAUCUUUCCAUUAGGGAGCCAUUGGAGGAUUUUAUUAUUGUUAUUGUUAUUAUUAUUAUUUUGAGACAGAGUCUUGCUCUGUUGCCAGGUGCCAGGCUGGAGUGCAGUGACACAAUCUCGGCUCACUGCAACCUCCUCCUCCUGGGUUCAAGCAAUUCUCCUGCCUCAACCUCCCAAGUAGCUGGGACUACAGGCGCAUGCCACCACACCCAGCUGAUUUUUGUAUUUUUUUAAUAGAGACGGGAUUUCACUCUGUUGGCCAGGAUAGUCUCGAUCUCUUGAUCUUGUGAUCCACCUGCCUCAGUCUCCCAAAGUGCUGGGAUUACAGGCAUGAGCCACCGUGCCCAGCCUGGAGGAUUUUAAGCAGAAGACUAAACUGAUGAGACUUGUUUAAAACUACUCUGUAAGCUGUGAUGAAGGAAUUGGAGCGAGGUGCCUGAAUGAGAGAAGACGAGUUGGGAGACAUAAAGUGGAAAAAGGCUCCAGUGGUCCUAAUGUUGUUGAAUUCAAUAGAAGCCUGUCAGUAGCACUUGAUGCAGCAGAUCUCCGUUCUUCUCUUUGUUAUCAGGAUAUCAGCCACUCUUCCUUUUUGCUGUCUGUUAUGGUUCAUUACCAUGUCCCUUGCUGGAUACUCCUCCCAUAUAUUUCCAAAUGCUGUAAUG